rnacentral:lncRNA from 1 species
AGAGAUUAACGAUACUUCUUUAUCUUUUGAAUUGUUCUGCCUGAUCGGUCGCUCAAGAUCUUUGGUCUUUAUCCGGACCCGAUGAAAAAAAUGGGAUCACUUCUUAUGGACUCGUUGAGAAUGAUUUUGAUCUAGUUCAUGGCCUAUUAGAAGUAGAAGGCGCUCUGGUGGGAUCUUCACGGACAGAAAAAGAUUGCAGUCAGUUUGAUAAUGAUCGAGUGACAUUGCUUCUUCGACCCGAACCGAGGAAUCCCGUAGAUAUGAUGCAAAACGACUCUUGUCUAUCCUUGAUCAGAGAUUUCUCUAAGCAAAAAAUAUGAGACGGAGUUUGAAGAAGGAGAGGGAGAAGGAGCCCUUGACCCGCAGGAGGAUUUAUUCAAUCACAACUCCACAUAUACACUUUUUCAAGAGGAAGCAAGGAUUUAGGGUGUGUUUGGUAAAGGAAAAAUAUUUUUCGAAAAAUAAGUAUUAAUCUUACUCAUUUUUCUAUGUUAGGUACGCAAAUUAAGAAAAAUAAUUUCUCAAGAAUAUUCAUAAAUAGUUUCGAUAAAAUAAACAUGAAGGCAUAAAGUUUCGAAUCAACAACCUUCUGAAUCCAAAAAUUUCAUAAACUUCCGAAUCACUAAACUUUACAAUUUCUAAACCCGUAAACUUCCAAACACAUAAACCUCCAAACUCAUAAUUUUAAAACUUGUAAAUUUCGAACCUAUAAACUGGUAAAUGAAAAAAAGUAGAAUUGAAUAUAUAUAUAUAUAUAUAUAUAUAUAUAUAUAUAUAUAUAUAUAUAUAUAUNNNNNNNNNNNNNNNNNNNNNNNNNNNNNNNNNNNNNNNNNNNNNNNNNNNNNNNNNNNNNNNNNNNNNNNGAGGGUGCGGCGAAAAAACAAAAAAUUUAAAAAACAAAAAGAAAAUUUUGCAGGGGAGGAUGAGGAGGAGGAGGGGAGGGGCAGCAGGGGGUGGCGACAGACAAAAAAUAAUGAAAUCUGAAAAAAAAGUCUUUUUGGGGAGAGGGGGUGGGAGAAGUGGGCUAGGGGAGAGAAGGGAGCAGGAUUGAGGUUAAAUAGGUAGAGCGUUUGGAAAAUAUUUUCCUAACUUUUCUUAGGAAGUCAUUUUUCUCUAAUUAAAAAUAAUAAUUGAUAUUUAGAAAAUAUUUUUCAAACUAAUUGUGCGAUCAAACAGUAAAAAUGAAAAAGUAUUUCUCGAAAAAAUAUUUUCUGUUAUAAGAAACACAUUUUUUUACUUCGGACUAAAAAUAAAGGUAUAAUUUAGGGCGUAAAAAUACAAUUUGAAGUAAUUCUAUAAUAUUUUUUCGGAAGAGAUUCUUAGCGCAUUUGACUAAUUUAUAGAGCUUGUAGUUUUCAUAAUAGUUUUAGCCUAAAUGUUUCAUCAUAUUCUGCCUAUAAAGUUCAAAGGUUAAGAUCGUGAGAGCUAAAAUGAUUAAUACUUAACCAAACACAUACUAUAUAUAUAGUGUACACGCUAUGGAUUCCUUAAACAAUUGUACAGUCAUAAAGAAUUAGUAUCAAUUAUUAUGAUUCAAAAUUUUAUAUAGGGAAAAUUUCAUAUAACAAUAAUUGAGCUUUUUGUUUUUUAAUUUUAUAGUUCCUAUUUGAAGAUUUCCUAUUUUCAACCUCUGUAAUGAUUAAAGCAUGUACUUCCUUCCCUUUUAUGUGAUUUUCUGUUACUUUCGAGACCAUGAAGAACCGAGAACUUCAAAUCGAGAAAUCAAAGUUGCUGUGUUUAUUAUUGGUUCGAAUACAUCGUGUUUGAGCAAUUGCUACUAAAAUUCAUUUGUGAUAUUGAUUGAACGUUGAAAACGGGAUAACACAUUCAUGGUGGUGACUGGUGAAUGAGCCAACUCUAUGGGCUAAAAAUUAUCCUAGUUUAAAUCCAGGCCAUAUUAGUACUAAAAGAGCCUUCAAGGGCUGCCAUAUGUUACAGAAUGACCUCGACAAAAAGCAUGCUCAAAGUCGAAGUCAUCUCACAAGAGAUGGAUGACGAGGUCGAGGAAUCAAUGUAAAUCAAGGUCGAGGACGAGUAUUUGUCUUAAAUAGAAUAAUAACGAUUUCUUUUUUGGACAAGACUUUAAAAGAGAAUAGUUCAGUGAAUAUUCUUUGUAUCUAUACUAUUAAGAUUUUUUGGCAUAUAUUCCCUUUUAUAUAGAAAGAGACAUAGUUAUAAGGGACUUGAAACAUUCAUUUGUAUGAAAUACAUUUACAUUCUCUGUAGAAUCUUUCUUUAUUGCACACAUAUAAAAAUAUAUCUUUUUUUUUUAGAUUCUUGUAUAACUUUUUCCCGCAAUCCAAGAACGAUCUGAAUUUCAAAGACUCAUCAAUCAUUCAUCAUUGUGAGAAAGAAUAUUCACGAACCUCACCCUCUCGGGUGACAUACAUAUUCUUAUUUACUUAAAUGUCAUUUAUUGUUAUAUAUUGUUAUUUAAUGCUACAUCCUUCUUUUUUUUGCCAUCGAAUAUUGUUAGUGUUAUCAUAAUUUAUUGCUCGUUAUAUAAUAUAUGUAUUUAAAAUCGGUUAAUAUAUCUUUUGGAUAUUAAGAUUAGCUAAGAUUAACUCUAUCUUAUUAACUCUAAUUGUUUAAACCCAUAUCUAAAUUUUGGGUCAAACAAUUUGGCGCUGUAUGUGAGAAUUUCUUAGCUUAUAUUUUAGUUUCCAUUAGAUCUACAACCUACGUGAUUUGUUGUUGGCCCAAGUAAAAUGUGAAAAUUUAAAGACUGACAAAAGAACUCAGAAAUGGACCACGUCCAUCUUGUGAAGCACAGUCAUGAUUAAUCCAAACAUCUGAGAUGCACGUGAAGAAGAUAAAUCUAACUUAUCAUAAGUAAUAUCUCCUGAUUUGAUUGAAAAAGGUUGCAUAAUUGGGUAAGGAGAGAAAAACUCCUUACACGGAGAGAAUAUAGUUUAGGAAGAGGAUAGUGUUAAAGUAUGAGAUCAACUAGAACUCUUUACCAUAGAAGAGUAGCAUAUGUAUCCCAGUCAAUCUCUAAUUACUAACCUAUUAACAUCAGUGUUGUUCUCUUUUACAGGUAAUGUACAUAAGCAGAAGUUAAACUUAAAUUAAGAGAAAAAGAGCAAGGCAAUUUUGCGAGCAAUUUAUGUGUGAUUCAAGCGUGUAAUCCUGAAGCUACGUGAACAAUAUAGAAGAACCAAUUUCAAGUGUCUAUCUUUUAUUCUAGUUCCAAGUGUCUAUCUUUUAUUGGAGUAGGUGAUUUUACAUUACACCUUUCAGCUUUUAUAGAAGUAAUUGUAUUAGCUACUUAAAGUGUUCAAGUUAGAGUUAACUUGAAGUUGUCACAACAGUUGAGGCUGUGUGCCACAACGGGAUUAGAUUUAAUCCUAGGUUUUCAAAAGAGGUUUUAUAAAUGCAGUUUUUGUCUUAGUGAUUUUAGUGAAAGUUUUGGCAAAACCAAUUGAGUAGUAGGUCUUGAUUUUUUCACCUUUAGAUCCAGGUAUUUUCCACGUAAAAAUCUUUGUGUUCUUUAUUUUCUUUACUUAUUAUUUCGCAAACAGUAAUUGUUGGAACACUUAGAAGAACCAUGUCCUUCUAUCAUCAAGUUAAGCAAAAAUUGGUACCACACAAAUCACCCCCCUCUUGUGUGGUAUUGAAGUAUAAAACAUCAAUUGUUAUCAGAGUGGAUUAUCCUUGAAGAGCUUAAUACCUUAGGAAAAGAUUAAGAUGAGUGCACCACCUGGAAAACUGGGAAGGGCAAUCUACUGCCAGGCCCCCACUCUUUAAUGGUUAGUACUAUUCUUGGUGGAAGAAUAGGACGAGAGACCAGAUCAUAGGAGAAAGCUAUGAACUCUGGGACAUAGUCACUGAUGGUCCCCUGGCUACUACAAAGAAGAAUACUAAAGGAGUGGACGUGACAAAGACAAGAGCUGAUUUCAUUGCUAAAGAUUUGAAGAAAUGGGAAAAGAAUGCUAAAGACAAGAAAUGGCUUGUGUGUGGGCUAGGUCUAGACAAGUACAAUAGGAUUCAAAGUUGUACCAUUGCUAAGGAGAUAUGGGAUACUUUACAAGUGGCUCAUGAAGGAGAUCCUCAAGUAAAGAGAUCAAGAGGAACACUGCUAUAUUCUUAAUAUGAGAAUUUCACUAUGAAGGAAGAAGAAACUAUCUAGGAAAUGUACACAAGGUUCACAACACUAACAAAUGAACUUAAAUCUCUUGGGAGAAUUAUCCUUGAAGAAGAAAAGGUUGAGAAAAUCUUGACAAGGGUCUUAAUAGUAACUUGCGAAAACAAAAUUACUACUAUUCAGGAAUCAAAGAAUAUUGCUACUCUCAAGUUGGAUAAACUGAUUGAAAAUCUCACUGCCUAUGAACUGAGAAGGAAAAUCAUGAAAAUGGAUGUACCCAAGAAGGAAAUGAGUCUGACCCUCAAAAUAGCUGAAGGUGCAGAACUAUAGGAUGAUGAAAUGGCCAUGAUCACAAGGGACUUCAAAAGUACAUGAUGAGAGGAAAAGGUUCUUCAAGAGGCACAACCUUCAAGGGCUUUUUAGAAACAGACCAAUGAGGGUUGCUACAAAUGUGGCAAGACUGACCACAUGAUCAAGAAUUGUCCUCAGUUGGAAAUUGAAUGUAAGAAGGAAAGGGCUGAAUGAAGGAACAUGAAUAAGGAACAAGUUCAACCCAAAAGGACCAAAGGAUCAACAAAGGCUAUGGUUGCUGCUUGGGGAGAAACAUCAGAUAAGGAUUCAGAAGAUGAAGUUGGAGAUGAACAGGCACUUAUGCCUAUCAGAGAAUCAGAUGAUGAACAAGAGGUAACUGUGAUUCAUCUCAAAGAGAAGAUUAAAUUUUUGUCUAAAGAAAGGUUAUCUGAAUUACUGAUAGACUUCAUAGAUGAGUCUGAGGUAAUAAACCAUGAGAAGGAACAACUGUCUAGGGAGUGUGUAAUCUUAAAAUCCAAGUGCAAAAAUCUAGAAUCUAGGGCUAAUGAGAAUGAGAGUGACAGUAAAAAUGCUGAGUUGAAGAACCAGGUUCUUGAACUUGACACCAGUAUCUUAGAACUUAGGUCUGAAAAUUUAAAACUGAAAUUAGGAACAGGUAAGAAGAAAUCUAAUCACACACAUAUCACCUUGGAAGAAAAUCUACGAAAAAUUAAGGAUGAGCAGUACAAGAAAGAUGAAAAAUAAAGUCUUAAAAGAAGACCUAGGGAAGGUAAAGAAUGAACUAGACAGAACUUGCGAAUAGAAUAAGGUUUCUGAUGUACUAACCUGGCUACAAGAACACCACAAUAGCAACAAGAGAGGACUUGGCUAUGGGACCCAAGCACCUAAGUGGGAUCCAAAAGCAAGUACAUCACUCUUCCUGAGAACAAAAUCUACACACACUGUGGCAAGACUGGUCAUUACAAAAGUGAAUGUAGUGCAAAAGAAAAGGCCAGUCAAAAGAACAAAACCUUUGUUCAAGAGAAAAAUCGGCUGCUUGGAUGGGCCAAAAGGAAUUUAAUUUACCCUUUUUCCUAUAGAAAGGGACCCAACCUAGUUUGGGUUCCUAAGAGUAACCCCUGAUUUAUUUUUGUAGGUCCAAGUGAAAGGAAGUAGCCACAUAUGAUACAUAGAUAGUGGCUGCUCAAAACAUAUGACUGGUAGCAAGAACUAGUUCCUUUCAUUUGAGGACUUAAAAAGAGGUAAUGUCUCAUUUGAAAAUGGAAAGAAAGGUUAGAUUAUUGGGGUUGGAAAGGUAGGUAAGUCAGAAUCACAUUCCAUUGAGAAUGUCUAAUUGAUAGAUGACUUGAAAUAUAGCCUAAUCAGUGUAUCACAACUAUGUGAUAGAGGUAACCUUGUAGAAUUUGCCUCUACCAAAUGCUUUGUGAUUAAUCUUACCACUAACAAGAUUGUUCUGAAAGGAAAAAGAGUUAACAAUAUUUACAUUAUAGAUUUAUCUACUGUUUCAUAAAAUAAACUCACUUGCUUGAGUGUGUUGGAUAUUGAUACCCUCCCGUGGCAGAAAAGACUUGGCCAUACAAGUCUGAAUCAACUCAACAAAUUAGUCUCGAAAAACCUGGGAAAAUGGUUACCUAACAUCAAGUUCAAGGAAGACAAAGUUUGUGAGGCUUACGUAAGGAGGAAGUAGGUAAUAUCAUCUUUUAAAAGCAAGAAAAUGGUAAGCACAACCAGGAUAAUGGAACUGGUUCAUAUGGAUCUCUGUGGUCCAAAGAGAACAUUGAGCAGAGAAGGCAAGAAAUAUGUGAUGAUACUUGUUGAUGGUUACUCAAGUUUACAUGAGUAUUAUUUUUAACAUCUAAGGAUGAAGCGUUUGACAUAUUUACUGCUGUUGUUAGAAAAACUCAGAAACAAAUAGGUAAUCAACUUGCAUCAACCAGGUCUCAUCAUGUAACUGAAUUUGAAAAGGCUAAGUUUGCUGAAUUUUGUGAUGAGCACGGCAUAGAUCAUAAUUUUUCUUCCCCUAAGAAUCACUAAAAUAGAGUAGUUGAAAGAGAGAAUAGGACUCUUAAUGAUAUGGCUAGGACUAUGCUUCUUUCUAGUAAACUGCCUCAUAGCUUAUGUGCAGAGGCUGUAAUACUGCAUGUUACAUCAUUAAUAGAUGCAUUACUAGACCUCUUAUAGAGAAUACUCCCUAUGAGUUAAUUAAAGGGAGAAAACCAAAUAUAUCCCAUCUUAGAGCUUUUGGUUGCAAAUGCUAUGUGCAUAAUAAGGGCCAAGACUCCCUAGGUAUGUUUUAUGAGAGAUCGGAACAUGAAGAUGAAGCUAUUGGGCUGGUAAAAGAAUUAAGUGAAGUCUCAGCUCAAGCUAAAGUUGCACCAAAAGAAGGAAUAAGUGAUGGAAUAGGUUCUUCCAUCUAGGGCAACCUGAUAAGGGGAACUGAAUAAAGAGGAACUGAAACCAAUCCCCUAAAGGAACCUGUUCAUGACCCUGUUCCUCAGUAACAAAACAUGGGAGAAACAUCAAGCAAAAAUCAGUUGGUUGUGAAUCCUCACAAGUAUCAAAGUUCUUAUUCUAUUGAGAACAUAAUCACUGAUCCAACAUCUAAAGUUAAAACUAGAUCAUAACUAAAGAACCUCUGUGCUUUUUAUGCUUUCGUAUCUCUUAUUGAACCGAAAAAUAUUGCUGAGACUUUGCAGGAUGCAGAUUAGGUGAAUGAAAUGCAAGGUGAACUCAACCAGUUUGAGAGAAGUCAGGUUUGGCAUUUAGUUCCAAGAUCCAAGGAUAGAUCAUUAAUUGGCACUAAAUGGGUCAUCAGAAACAAGCUUGAUGAAGAUGGAAUAGUUAUAAGGAACAAGGCAAGAAUGGUGGUCCAAGGUUAUAGCCAGAAGGAGGGUAUAGAUUAUGAUGAGACCUUUGCUCCAGUUGCAAGACUGGAGGGAAUUAGACUCCUUAUAGCCUUUACAGCACAAAUGGAAUUUAUUCUUCAUCAAAUGGAUGUCAAAAGUGCCUUCCUGAAUGGCUACUAAUCGAGGCCAACCCUAUACUACCUCAAAGUAGAAAGAGUGGUCGAAGUAGCUUUUGUCCGAGAAGGUCAGGAUUGAUUUCCUCGGGGAGCUAGAGAUUGGAGUUGAGUUUCUAUAUAAAUUGAAGUUGCGUAAUUGUUCCUAAUUGCACUUCUAUUUAUAAUUAUAUUUGAUUGUACUUCUAAUUUUAUACUACUACAACGCUAAAUUGAGCUAAGUUAAACUAAGAGUAACUAUUGAAGAUUGUCUAAAUAGUUAAAAGGCACUAGGGAAGUGACUUUCUCCUAGAUGGAUAAUUGACGGAUUCUCGAGUCUAAGGCUAGAUUGUCAUUUUUGGCGAUUAUGAUAUAACUAUUGCACGAUUCUACUCACUCAAUACCUCUCGGUAGUUCGAGUGAUUUUUCCCUAAUUAACUUUCUCAAGACCAAUAAUUUGUGCAAGCAAUAGAGGCCAUAUUUGGGGAUUACGAUAUAACCAUUGCAUGAUUCUACUCACUCUAUACCUCUUGGUAGUUUGAGUGAUUUUGGCCUAAUUGACUCUCUCAAGACCAAUUACGUAUGAUAAUUUGUGCAAGCAAUAGAGGUUCAAGUCGAGUAUUACUAUCUCUAGGUUUAACCCUUUAAUUGGAGCUAUCAAUCUCUUGAGUACGCCCCAAUUUCUUAUUGGACCAAUUUCAUAGACUUAGGCUAUCUUUCUCAAGAAGAUCCAAAGUUAACUAGGCAUAAACUAGUAUUUUAACCAAUAAUUCAAUAUUAAAACCCUAUAUUAGUCCAGAUAUUAAACACCCAUAGACAUUUAAUCCUUAAAGCACAAGACCUAUCAGUUACCUACACUAGGAUUGAGCAACAACCCUAGCUAAUGGGCCUAGCUACUCAUGAUUAUAGAAGAAAAUAAAGAAAUAGAUGAAAGAAAGCCGAUAAUAUUAAUUUACUAAAUAAAACUUGAAUAUUCAGUGAUGAAACUAUCGUAAAAUUACUCAAAAUGGCAAAAGAACACUAUUCACGAGCGUAGCUGCUGUCUAAAUUACAACUGAUGACCUAAAAGUGGGAAAGAAACUAUUUAUACUAGACUAAAUAUUCUGAACAAAAAUACCCCUACGGGGCUAGUGUGGACCGCACAAAAUCGAGCGCGGCUGCACUAAGGCUCUUGGCUGAAACAAUCUACUCUCUGAAGUUGGCCACUGUAGGCUGCACAAAAUGCACCACGGCCGGGUGGCUUCUAUUACGGUCCUCACAAAAUGGACUGCGGACCGCAUUAGCAAUGUUCCUCCAACAAGGCACCUCUCAGAAAUUAGGCUUUGCGGAUACCACAAAAUUGAGUGUGGCUGCAAUGAAGUCAAUGCGGUCCGCAUAAAAUGUUUUGCGGCCGCAUUGCUUGGCUGCCUGAAUGAACACUCUCUGAACCUCCUCUUUGUGGACCACAUAGAAUAGUGUGCGGCCGUACUAGUCCUGUUAUACUUAUCUUGGCCUUGUUCUUGGUACUUGUGCAUGUUUCACUUUUUUUGAGCUAGUUUUAACAAAUUGUCACCUUUUUAAACAAAUCCUACAAUCAAGUGCAACAUGUGAGCACUUGGGACUAUUUUGUACACAUUUUUAAUCACAACUAAAGCAAGAAGAGUUGUAAAAUGCGUCAUAAUCCCUAGUUAUCAGCUACCUAAAAGAAGAAGUGCUUGUCAAAUAACCUCUAUGAUUUGAGGUGAAGGAGUGUCCGGGAUAUGUGUACAAAUUAGACAUGGCUCUCUGGACUCAAGUAGGAUCUUAGAGCAUGGUAUAAACGGCUGUCCAAAUUCCUGCUUGAACAUGGCUACAAAAGAGGUAAAAUUGACAGUACUCUAUCCUUGA